UCAUCCACACCCAUGCCGCGU
rnacentral:siRNA from 1 species